AGGGCUCCGGGCGGCCGUGACCCUGCUGGAGUGCGGGGGGGACCUCCAGCCCCCCGGGGGGUCCCUGUGCCUCCUCUGCCGAGGGUCCGGGUUCGAUGUCGGGAGUUUUAGCAUGCAAUGGAUCCGCCAGAGACCCGGGCAGGGGCUGGAGUGGCUCGGGGGGAUCAGCAGCAGUGGCAGCACCGACUACGCGCCGUCGCUCAAGGGCCGGGUCACGAUCUCCAGGGACAACGGGCAGAGCUCGGUGACGCUGACCAUGACCGACCUCCGGGACGAGGAUUCCGGAUCCUAUUUCUGUGCCAAGGGUGCUGAAUGGGGUGCUCGUUAUAACGAUGCCAAUGGUAUUGGCGCCUCGCCCAUGUCCGUCUGUCCCCCCGUCCCCGUUCCCCAACCCCCACCCCUGACCCCGUUCCUGUCCCCGUGUCCCAGCCCUGCUCUGGCCCUGCCCCCAAUCUCAGCUCCUGGCCCCAAAUCUCCGCCGUAGCUCCAAGUCCCAGCC